rnacentral:rRNA from 2 species
GAGUCUGAUGGAGCACGCCGCGUGAGUGAAGAAGGGUUUCGGCUCGUAAAACUCUGUUGUUAAAGAAGAACAUAUCUGAGAGUAACUGUUCAGGUAUUGACGGUAUUUAACCAGAAAGCCACGGCUAACUACGUGCCAGCAGCCGCGGUAAUACGUAGGUGGCAAGCGUUGUCCGGAUUUAUUGGGCGUAAAGCGAGCGCAGGCGGUUUUUUAAGUCUGAUGUGAAAGCCUUCGGCUCAACCGAAGAAGUGCAUCGGAAACUGGGAAACUUGAGUGCAGAAGAGGACAGUGGAACUCCAUGUGUAGCGGUGAAAUGCGUAGAUAUAUGGAAGAACACCAGUGGCGAAGGCGGCUGUCUGGUCUGUAACUGACGCUGAGGCUCGAAAGUAUGGGUAGCAAACAGGAUUAGAUACCCUGGUAGUCCAUACCGUAAACGAUGAAUGCUAAGUGUUGGAGGGUUUCCGCCCUUCAGUGCUGCAGCUAACGCAUUAAGCAUUCCGCCUGGGGAGUACGGCCGCAAGGCUGAAACUCAAAGGAAUUGACGGGGGCCCGCACAAGCGGUGGAGCAUGUGGUUUAAUUCGAAGCUACGCGAAGAACCUUACCAGGUCUUGACAUACUAUGCAAAUCUAAGAGAUUAGACGUUCCCUUCGGGGACAUGGAUACAGGUGGUGCAUGGUUGUCGUCAGCUCGUGUCGUGAGAUGUUGGGUUAAGUCCCGCAACGAGCGCAACCCUUAUUAUCAGUUGCCAGCAUUAAGUUGGGCACUCUGGUGAGACUGCCGGUGACAAACCGGAGGAAGGUGGGGAUGACGUCAAAUCAUCAUGCCCCUUAUGACCUGGGCUACACACGUGCUACAAUGGAUGGUACAACGAGUUGCGAACUCGCGAGAGUAAGCUAAUCUCUUAAGCCAUUCUCAGUUCGGAUUG